rfam:Otolemur garnettii contig073828, whole genome shotgun sequence.
AAAAGACUUGUGUGAAACACAAGAUGGCAAAGUGUAGUAGAAAAAUUAAAUUAGUGCGAGUAGCUCAGCUUUGCUUAA